GGAUUAAUUACCUCUGGGACACAAUCUAUUGAAUCAGAAACAUCCGAUACUGCUUCCAGUACAUCUGGUUUUCCAAGCACUGCUUCUGGCUCAUCAUUUAUGUACUCGUUUCCAUCACAAAUAGGUCCAUCCAGAUCAGUCUUAUAUAGCUCCACCACAGCAGAUUUUACAUCAAUAGCCUUAUCCUUUAUUUUGUGAUUAUUCCGCUUCUGCUUAGCCUGCUUUUUCUUGGACUUCUUUUCCUUUCCAGAUGCUCGUUUAGCUUUCUGCUCAGUUUCAGCCAGCCCAGCAGCUUCCUCUUCACGGAUGAGCUCUUCUUGCCUCUUUAAAGCAACAGCCUCCUGAUAUGCAACCUCUAUUUUACUGAA
rnacentral:misc_RNA from 1 species